UACGUAGGGGGCAAGCGUUGUCCGGAUUUACUGGGCGUAAAGAGCUCGUAGGUGGUUUGGCAAGUCGGGUGUGAAAACUCGGGGCUCAACCCCGAGCCUGCAGUCGAUACGGGCAAACUAGAGUGUGGUAGGCGAGUGGAAUUCCUGGUGUAGCGGUGAAAUGCGCAGAUAUCGGGAGGAACACCGGUGGCGAAGGCGGUUCUCUGGGCCUGUUCUGACGCUGAGGAGCGAAAGCGUGGGGAGCGAACAGG
rnacentral:rRNA from 1 species